rnacentral:rRNA from 1 species
UACGUAGGGGGCGAGCGUUGUCCGGAAUUAUUGGGCGUAAAGAGCGUGUAGGCGGCCCGGUAAGUCCGCUGUGAAAGUCGGGGGCUCAACCCUCGAAUGCCGGUGGAUACUGGUCGGGCUAGAGUGCGGAAGGAGGCGAGUGGGAAUUCCGUGGUGUAGCGGUGAAAUGCGCAGAUAUCAGGAGGAACACCAAUUGGCGAAAGGCAGCUCGCUGGGUACGUAACUGACGCUGAGAACGCGAAAGCGUGGGGAGCAAACAGG